GUGGAGCGAAUGAUGUUCCUACCAAAGAAGACUAAAGAGAAGAGGAUGAAAGAGAUGGAAAAUGAGACGGUGGGGUGGGAUGGCUGAGAUGAUUCUUUGACCACCAAAAAUACUAUUUAGAAAUUGGAAUCACAAUUAUACCAAAUUGGAAUCACAAUUAUGCGCAGCCCAGUGAUUAUUUCAUCCUCCUUAAUGAGGUCACUCCAGCUUAGAGACGAAAACCGAAAGAUUCUGCUCUUUCUUUUCUAAGCUGCUCUUUCUUUUCUAAGCUGAAGUGACCUCUUAAGGAGGAUGAAAGAAUCACUGGGCUGCGCAUAAUUGUGAUUCUAAUUUCUAAAUAGUAUUUUUGGUGGUGAUCUAACUUGUUGAAAGUUGCUAAAACAAGCUAACAAGGGUAGACAAUAUGUCUUUAUAUGUGGAUUUAAUAUAUAUAAGCCUAGCUAGGUAAAUAGAUGGUCACUGUUAGUAAAACUGUUAAGGUCAUCUGGGUGUGUUUAUUAUGGUUCUUAUUGUUGGUAUGCUUAAUUAUUAGGCCAUAUGAUGUCCAGAAGUGAUAUUUUGCGAUGUAGCUAUAUUUUAUUAAACCAUGGUGUAUAAACACACGCGCNNNN
rnacentral:lncRNA from 1 species